UACGAAGGGGGGCUAGCGUUGCUCGGAAUCACUGGGCGUAAAGCGCACGUAGGCGGCUUUUUAAGUCAGGGGUGAAAUCCUGGAGCUCAACUCCAGAACUGCCUUUGAUACUGGGAGCUCGAGUCCGGGAGAGGUGAGUGGAACUCCGAGUGUAGAGGUGAAAUUCGUAGAUAUUCGGAAGAGCACCAGUGGCGAAGGCGGCUCACUGGCCCGGUACUGACGCUGAGGCACGAAAGCGUGGGGAGCAAACAGG
rnacentral:rRNA from 1 species